AACGAACGCUGGCGGCAUGCCUAACACAUGCAAGUCGAACGAAGGCUUCGGCCUUAGUGGCGCACGGGUGCGUAACGCGUGGGAAUCUGCCCUUGGGUUCGGAAUAACAGUUAGAAAUGACUGCUGAUACCGGAUGAUGUCGUAAGAUCAAAGAUCUAUCGCCCAGGGAUGAGCCCGCGUAAAAUUAGGUAGUUGGUGGGGUAAAGGCCUACCAAGCCGACGAUCUUUAGCUGGUCUGAGAGGAUGAUCAGCCACACUGGGACUGAGACACGGCCCAGACUCCUACGGGAGGCAGCAGUGGGGAAUAUUGGACAAUGGGCGAAAGCCUGAUCCAGCAAUGCCGCGUGAGUGAUGAAGGCCUUAGGGUUGUAAAGCUCUUUUACCAGGGAUGAUAAUGACAGUACCUGGAGAAUAAGCUCCGGCUAACUCCGUGCCAGCAGCCGCGGUAAAGUCUGUACU
rnacentral:rRNA from 1 species